rnacentral:rRNA from 1 species
UACGUAGGGUGCAAGCGUUAAUCGGAAUUACUGGGCGUAAAGCGUGCGCAGGCGGUUUUGUAAGUCAGAUGUGAAAAUCCCCGGGCUUAACCUGGGAACUGCGUUUGAAACUACAAGGCUAGAGUGUGGCAGAAGGGGGUGGAAUUCCACGUGUAGCAGUGAAAUGCGUAGAGAUGUGGAGGAACACCGAUGGCGAAGGCAGCCCCUGGGUUAACACUGACGCUCAGGCACGAAAGCGUGGGGAGCAAACAGGAU